CCUACGGGAGGCAGCAGUGAGGAAUAUUGGUCAAUGGUCGGGAGACUGAACCAGCCAAGCCGCGUGAGGGAGGACGGUACUAUGUAUCGUAAACCUCUUUUGUCAGGGAACAAAAGCUGGGACGCGUCGCGGUAUGAGUGUACCGGAAGAAAAAGCAUCGGCUAACUCCGUGCCAGCAGCCGCGGUAAUACGGAGGAUGCGAGCGUUAUCCGGAUUUAUUGGGUUUAAAGGGUGCGCAGGCGGUAGGUUAAGUCAGCGGUAAAAGCCCGGGGCUCAACCCCGUCCAGCCGUUGAAACUGGGUGUCUUGAGGGAGCGAGAAGGAUGCGGAAUGCGUGGUGUAGCGGUGAAAUGCAUAGAUAUCACGCAGAACUCCGAUUGCGAAGGCAGCAUGCCGGCUCCCAACUGACGCUGAUGCACGAAAGCGUGGGUAUCGAACAGGAUUAGAUACCCGAGUAGUC
rnacentral:rRNA from 1 species